rnacentral:rRNA from 1 species
CACCGCGGUUAUACGAGAGACCCAAGUUGAUAACUCCCGGCGUAAAGCGUGGUUAAGGAAACCUCAAACUAAAGUCGAACACUCUCAAAGCUGUUAUACGCACAUCGAGAACAUGAAGAACUACCACAAAAGUGACUUUAAGCCCACCCCGAACCCACGAAAGCUAAGAUA